rnacentral:rRNA from 1 species
AUUGAACGCUGGCGGCAGGCCUAACACAUGCAAGUCGAGCGAGCGGCGGACGGGUGAGUAAUGUCUGGGAAACUGCCUGAUGGAGGGGGAUACCUACUGGAAACGGUAGCUAAUACCGCAUACCAUCAGAUUUGCCCAGAUGGGAUUAGCUAGUAGGUGGGGUAACGGCUCACCUAGGCGCCGCGCCCUAGCUGGUCUGAGAGGAUGACCAGCCACACUGGAAAUGAGACACGGUCCAGAAGCCUACGGGAGGCAGCAGUGGGGAAUAUUGCACAAUGGGCGCAAGCCUGAUACAGCAAUGCCGCGUGUGGGAAGAAGGCCUUCGGGUUGUAAAGCACUUUCAGCGGGGAGGCGUUACCCGCAGAAGAAGCACCGGCUAACUCCGUGCCAGCAGCCGCGGUAAUAC